GAUGAAGAACGCAGCGAAAUGCGAUAAGUAAUGCGAAUUGCAGAAUUCAGUGAAUCAUCGAAUCUUUGAACGCGCAUUGCGCCCCCUGGUAUUCCGGGGGGCAUGCCUGUUCGAGCGUCAUUUCACCACUCAAGCCUCGCUUGGUAUUGGGCAACGCGGUCCGCCGCGUGCCUCAAAUCGACCGGCUGGGUCUUCUGUCCCCUAAGCGUUGUGGAAACUAUUCGCUAAAGGGUGUUCGGGAGGCUACGCCGUAAAACAACCCCAUUUCUAAGGUUGACCUCGGAUCAGGUAGGGAUACCCGCUGAACUUAAGCAUAUCAAUAAGCGGAGGA
rnacentral:misc_RNA from 1 species